UUGAACGCUGGCGGCAUGCCUUACACAUGCAAGUCGAACGGUAGAGGAGCAAUCCUCGAGAGUGGCGAACGGGUGAGUAAUGUAUCGGAAUGUACCCAGUAGUGGGGGAUAACUAGUCGAAAGAUUAGCUAAUACCGCAUACGCACUAUGGUGGAAAGCGGGGGAUCGCAAGACCUCGCGCUAUUGGAGCAGCCGAUGUCCGAUUAGGUAGUUGGUGGGGUAAAAGCCUACCAAGCCCGCGAUCGGUAACUGGUCUGAGAGGACGACCAGUCACACUGGGACUGAGACACGGCCCAGACUCCUACGGGAGGCAGCAGUGGGGAAUUUUGGACAAUGGGGGAAACCCUGAUCCAGCAAUGCCGCGUGUGUGACGAAGGCCUUCGGGUUGUAAAGCACUUUUGGCGGGAACGAAACGGCGCUUUCUAAUACAGAGCGCUAAUGACGGUACCCGCAGAAUAAGCACCGGCUAACUACGU
rnacentral:rRNA from 1 species